AAGACCUUUGCGCUUUUGGAGCGGCCGAUGCCUGAUUAGCUUGUUGGUAAGGUAAAAGCUUACCAAGGCUUCGAUCAGUAGCUGGUCUGAGAGGACGGCCAGCCACACUGGGACUGAGACACGGCCCAGACUCCUACGGGAGGCAGCAGUGGGGAAUUUUGGACAAUGGGGGCAACCCUGAUCCAGCCAUGCCGCGUGAGUGAAGAAGGCCUUCGGGUUGUAAAGCUCUUUCAGCCGGAACGAAACGGUUACGGUUAAUACCCGUGAUUACUGACGGUACCGGAAGAAGAAGCACCGGCUAACUACGUGCCAGCAGCCGCGGUAAUACGUAGGGUGCGAGCGUUAAUCGGAAUUACUGGGCGUAAAGCGUGCGCAGGUGGUUUUGUAAGUCAGAUGUGAAAGCCCCGGGCUCAACCUGGGAACU
rnacentral:rRNA from 1 species